UAGGCGGGGAGAUAGCGGUGCCCUGAACUCGCAAUCCGCUCUAGCGAGGCUGAAUUCCUCCCUGAGGUCUUCUUUGCGCAGCCUCUGCCGGUAAGCGCCGGUGUUGAUGGCUGGGUCCUGCGCGGCGGAAACCUGCGAAUCCCGUCAGAUUCGGAAGAAAGCAGCGGUAAGCAGUCAUUUCCGAGCGCCGCAGGGUCACCUGGCCUGAGUCGGUCUUGCCGAUCACGCUGGCGGAAGGGAUCGAAUGGGGGUGCACGG
rnacentral:SRP_RNA from 1 species